GAGAGUAGGCGUUGGCGGUUGCAGACCAGUUAGCUUAACUGAUUUGAGGAAAGUCCGGACUCCCGAAAGACCAGACUUGCUGGAUAACGUCCAGUGCGAGCGAUCGUGAGGAUAGUGCCACAGAAAAAUACCGCCAAGAUUGGGGACUGGGGACUAGGGGUUGGGGACUGGGGAAGAAACUUCCCAAUCCCUAAUCCCCCAUACCCAAUACCCAACUCUUGGUAAGGGUGCAAAGGUGCGGUAAGAGCGCACCAGCAGUAUCGAGAGGUACUGGCUCGGUAAACCCCGGUUGGGAGCAAGGCCGAAGGAACUAUGGUUGGUCUUUUACCAGUUCCGCUAUCAGAGAGCCGCUAGAGGCGUUUGGUAACAAACGUCCCAGAUAGAUAAUCGCCCUCGUGUAAAGCAAUUUACACAGAGAACAGAACCCGGCUUACCACCAACUCUCUCCU
rnacentral:RNase_P_RNA from 14 species